ACAUUAAUUGCUUCAAAUUGAUAUCUCUAGCCUCCUCCAAAAUGAUACAAGCCCUCCAGUACGCCUUCGUCACGUCCCCUCUUUCUGUUGGCCUUAUCUUAGUUUUAUUUCACUUUUAAAUUCCCACAGAAGUUUUAUUUUGUGGAUGCUUGUUUCAACUUACCCAUGUAUUGACCAAGUACUCUUUCUUGAUGCUCACUGCUUCCUUCUGAAUUUAAUUUCCUUCUUCCUGAAAUAUUUCCUUAUAUAGUUCUUUAGUGGAAUCAUCUACAUAGGUGGUGGUAAGUUCUUUUUUCAAAAUUAGUGAGUGAGUGUGUGUGUGUGUGUGUGUGGUGUUUAAUCAAAUGGCUCUUAGUAGUCCUGCUUCCAUGAGGGACUGAGACUAAGGGAGACGGGAAGACAGCCAGCUGGUGUCAGGAGGGGUCAUCCCCACAACAUGCCACUUAGACACAGAACUAAGCAUGCAAGCAGAGUCGCUACUACGGUUGGAAAGUGGCAUCAUGGGAAAGGAGAACAGAUGGAGGAGUUAGGGUGUCAUUAAAAAGAUACAGGUUCCCCACCCACCCACCCAAACUGGACAGAACUUGGUCUGCUUCAACUCAAGGGAACUCAGAAGGUCAAAAGUGGUUUGGAAAGGCCAGAACCAUCAGGGACGGAGGGAGGGGAGAUGGCCAAGGGGUGGAGGGGGCUGAAGGGAUUGUCCCAGCCCUACUGUGAUCUUCUAGCCCCACUGGUCUGGCAGGAAGGCAGGGGAGCCUCUAACACCAAAGGGCAGGCCUGGGGCUGCCAGGUGCUCCAGGCAGGGUGCUGCGGGGGCUCAAAGCUUUCCCUCCUGGGAGCUCACCCACAGGAUCCCCUGGGCCUUCCCCAGGGUGCUGCUCUUGAUCUCACUCAGGCACAGUGUUCUACACCUGUCACGGAACUUCUUGUAAUACCAUCAGGGGCAGCCCCAAGGCCAUAGCUGCAGAAGUGACGGCAUUUGGCAAGGAAGAGCCAGGAAGACGAGAGUUGCUGCAGCUGCUGCUGGGAUCUGACUGAGCCUCUACGUGCUGGGCCUGGGCCAGGGCUGAAGUCAGGAGCUGGGGACUCAGUCCAGGUCUCCGAGGUGGAUAGCAGGAACCUAAUUACCGAAGCCAUCAUCACUGCCUCCCAGGGUCUGCACUGGUGGGAAGCUGGAGUCAGGAGUCAGAGCUGAGAAUCAACCCCAGGAUCCCGUCCUGGACAUCACGUUACAAUGGCUACAUGAAAUGUAGAGACUUUCAGGCACCUGUUGGCUGUGAUAGUAUCUCAGACGUUUCCUGUUUUGUCGUCUUUGACAGUUGUGGGAGUAUUUUUUUUUAAAUAUUUGCUUAUUUUAUUUGAAAGUCACAGUUACAGAGAGGUAGACACACACACACACACACACAGCGAGGGUGGGGUGAGGGAAGAGAUCUUCUGUCCACUGAUUUAGUCCCCAGAUGGCCACAAAGGUCAGCACUGGGUCAGGCUGAAGCCAGGAACCAGGAGCUUCUUCUGGGUCUCCCAUGUGGGUGACAGGGCCUCAACCACUUGGGCCACCUGUGCAUCAGUAGAGAGCUGGGUGGGAAGUGGAGUAGCCAGGACUUGAACUGGGACUCAUAGGAUGCCAGCUUUGCAGGCAGAAGCUUAACCCACUGAAUCACAGUGUCAACCCCUGGCUUUGAUUUUGACCCUGCUCUUUAUGAAGCUAUGAAUUAAAAAACUGGAUUCCUAUAUUUGCCGAGGGGUUCCAGUUAGCUUAGCUCUGCCCCAUGGCUUCAGAGCUUCUAACCAGUCACGGUGGCUUAGAAAUGUGCCUACAGACCCUGUGACAGCCGGCUUUUCAAAGGGAACAGCCUAACUCCCCUUGCCUUUCAUGGACGAUUGACCUUCACACCUCACUUCUAUUGAACAGAAUCUGAUGGGAGUGACCACGUGUGACUUCCAAGACUGGGCUAUAGAGAGACACGUGGCUACUGUUUGCACUUUUGGACAAACACACUGGAAAAGACAGCACCAUGCUGUGAGAACACCAGAGGCCUGCCUGGCGAGCAGGCACCAGCACACCAGCUGUGUAAGUGAACCACCCUCAUGGAGAAUCCAUCUGGCCCCCACAAAGCCUUCAGCUGACUACAGCUCUGGCUGACCUCUGCCUGCAACCUCCUGAGAGAUCAGAGACUAAGCCUGAAUUCAACUCCUCCAAACUCAUCUUCUCUUCCCAAAACUCGAAUGUCAACACUUGCCUGUUUCUUGGUACAACAGUCAUGGUUCUAUUAAUCAGCCUGUCAACGCCUUCAUAUCCAGGGACCCUCAAGGACUCAAGCCUUGAGAAACCCACUGAAAGUUCCAAGUUGGCCAGCUCGGUUCAGAUUACAAAAUAUGAGGCACUGAAGCAUGUUCUUCAGCUCAUCUUAGAGGAGUGCAGAGAGCCAGGCACCCAGUGAGUCUCCCAAAGGGAAAAACAACUGUUGCCUCCUAGGGUGUGGUUAGCAGGAAGCUGGAGGCAGGAAUCAAAUCCAGGUAUUACGAGAGGGAAUGUGGUGUCUUCACAGCCAGGUUAAAUGCCUGCUUCUGGGAUAUGUUCUUUUGCUGUUGUUGCUAUUUUAACUUGGGAGGUGGGCCCAACAGUGCAGAAGAGCAGGUGUGCUGGUGUUACUAUAGGAAGUUCAAGGCUGAAUACAGAAAGUUUUCUGUAUGAUUGUGUGCCAGCAGCAAACCUUUCUCUUUUUAGUUGUUGGUCCAGGAAAAAAGCAAACAAGAAGUCUUAUUCAAUUACAGCUUUUUCCAAGACAUUUUCUACCCCCUGCUCAAA